CCUACGGGAGGCAGCAGUGGGGAAUUUUGGACAAUGGGCGCAAGCCUGAUCCAGCAAUGCCGCGUGAGUGAAGAAGGCCUUCGGGUUGUAAAGCUCUUUUGUCAGGGAAGAAACGGUGGAGGUUAAUACCUUCUGCUAAUGACGGUACCUGAAGAAUAAGCACCGGCUAACUACGUGCCAGCAGCCGCGGUAAUACGUAGGGUGCAAGCGUUAAUCGGAAUUACUGGGCGUAAAGCGUGCGCAGGCGGUUGUGCAAGACAGAUGUGAAAUCCCCGGGCUCAACCUGGGAAUUGCAUUUGUGACUGUACGGCUAGAGUGUGUCAGAGGGGGGUAGAAUUCCACGUGUAGCAGUGAAAUGCGUAGAGAUGUGGAGGAAUACCGAUGGCGAAGGCAGCCCCCUGGGAUAACACUGACGCUCAUGCACGAAAGCGUGGGGAGCAAACAGGAUUAGAUACCCUGGUAGUCCACGCCCUAAACGAUGUCUACUAGUUGUCGGGUCUUUAUUGACUUGGUAACGCAGCUAACGCGUGAAGUAGACCGCCUGGGGAAGUCGGUCGCAAGAUUAAAACUCAAAGGAAUUGACGG
rnacentral:rRNA from 1 species